UACGUAGGGUGCGAGCGUUGUCCGGAAUUAUUGGGCGUAAAGAGCUUGUAGGCGGUUUGUCGCGUCUGCCGUGAAAAUCCGGGGCUCAACCCCGGACUUGCGGUGGGUACGGGGCAGACUAGAGUGUGGUAGGGGAGACUGGAAUUCCUGGUGUAGCGGUGAAAUGCGCAGAUAUCAGGAGGAACACCGAGUGGCGAAGGCAGGUCUCUGGGCAUUAACUGACGCUGGAGGAGCGAAAGGCAUGGGGAGCGAACAGG
rnacentral:rRNA from 1 species